CACGUGCCCUCAAGCUGGGAGGGCACGCUAAGGAAAUAACCAGCCAUAAAUUCCACAUCCACACAGUUUGUGUGAGGGGAAGCAGAACAGCCAUGCAGAAUUAGCCAGAAUAACUGCUUCCAGAGGUCUGUGGCAGUAUGGGAAACCUAGACCUCCUGAAAUGUUCAGAUCUGUGGGUAAUUAACUAUUUACUGCCCUUUCCAGAGGAUCUGACCUUUGCAGACACUUGAGCACAUCUGCGAUGAAAACCUCCAGCAAAGCUGUUAGUUCAGUGUCAGCUCAGUUUAAAUCAGCUCGGGAGAGGUGUGAAGAAAGAAGCACACCCUCCUCAAUCCUCAGCUCUGGAGCAGCAAGCCACACUUCCUCCACAGCCUUCUCUUGUUCAGCUCCCCAAUUGUCAAAAUA